AUAAACAAUAGUCAAUUUAAGAUAAGCAGGAAUAGAGAGAGAAAUCAUGUCAGGAAUCAAUAAGAUAGGUACUAAAAGCUGACCGACAAUAUAAUUGAUGUCGGGCAGCGUGGGGAACAAUAAUUGGGACUUUGCUUGCUCGUUGUUGGUUGAUUAUUAAUGAAAUAUUCAAAUAGACAGUGGAUAGUUGGUUGAGGCUGGUUUCGGAAAACAGGCAUGGGCUUGUCUUGUUCGAGCUACCUGACUUUGACCGAGUCUUAACCUGUCCUUGCCUCUUUGGGGUGGCACAGGUAGAGUCAAGACUCAAGGGAGACUGCGAUUGCGACACUGCAGACAGAGGGUCAAGAAGGGCUGUCCUUCCAUAGUUGACCGCUGAAUCAGACAUGUGGCGAGUAAAGAAUGGUGGUUACUGUUAAUAGCCAAACACGCGUGCGGCACCAGCGUCUCUAGCAGCAGUCAGCCGAGCAUGGAAUAGUGAGUCCACCGACUUGUUCCCCAGAGUUUUUUUACAAAUAUCAAUGAAAUAAAUAAUCUUAUUAAUAUAUUUCAAUACUUUAUUUAUAAAGAAAUAAAUAGUCCCAUUAUGAAUAAAA